AGAGCGAACGCUGGCGGCAUGCUUAACACAUGCAAGUCGCACGGUCGGGGGUAACUCCGGCAGUGGCGGACGGGUGAGUAACGCGUAGGCAUCUAUCCUUGAGUGGGGGAUAACCUAGGGAAACCUGGGCUAAUACCGCAUAAUACCUUCGGGUCAAAGGAGCAAUUCGCUUAAGGAGGGGGUCGCGGCCGAUUAGUUAGUUGGCGGGGUAAUGGCCCACCAAGACUGUGAUCGGUAUCC
rnacentral:rRNA from 1 species